rnacentral:lncRNA from 1 species
GGGUAUUUUAUUGCUUAUUGGGCUAGUGUAGCUCAUUAUUUUAUUUUCUCUAUUUUUCAGAUCCAGAGGCUUGAUCGCACGGGAUUGGGGAGUGCGUUAGAUUUUUCGAUAAUUACUUCAGUUAUUGGCAUUUCAGUUAGAUUAGUUUGGACAUUUGAAUUAUGUUGGCAUAUGCUAUUUUAAAAUUUUGUAAGACUGCUUUUGAAUAAAUUUAAAUAAUUAUGUCAGUUUUGAACAUCUAUAUUUGCUUUGAUAUGAUCCGAUGCCUUGCAUGCAUGUACGGCCCGCCAUGCGGACGUGCGGCGUCUGCCGCGCCUCGGGCUCAGGGCAUGACAGAUUUGGUGGUAUCAAAGCGGACCCAGCCCAUAACCUAUGUGGACUAAGGGACACUGCAGCACGAAUCCAUUGGGGCUGACCACGAGCCAAUCGUGGUGUUUGUGAUUAGAUUUGAAUUGAUAUGAACUCUUAGCCUGACGAGGACGUCAGGGCUUGAACGGGGG